rnacentral:rRNA from 1 species
AUGAACGCUGGCGGCGUGGAUAAGGCAUGCAAGUCGAACGGGCCGCCUCCGCAAGGAGGCGAGCUAGUGGCGAACGAGUUAGUAAUACCUUGGAACGUACCCGAAAGACGGGGAUAACCCACCGAAAGGUGGACUAAUACCCGAUGGUCCCUGAGAGCAAUCGAAGGGUAAAGACGUAAGUCACUUUUGGAGCGGCCUAGGUCCUAUCAGCUUGUUGGCGGGGUAAUGGCCCACCAAGGCAAUGACGGGUAGGGGGCGUGAGAGCGUGGCCCCCAACGAGGGAACUGAGAAACGGUCCUUACAUCUACGGAUGGCCGCAGUCGAGAAUAUUCGACAAUGGGCGAAAGCCUGAUCGAGCGACGCCGCGUGCAGGAAGAAGUGGCUUUGCCACGUAAACUGCUUUUGUCAGGGAAAAAUUUUGAUUGUACCUGAAGAAUAAGGGGUUGCUAACCUCGU